rnacentral:rRNA from 1 species
UACGUAGGGUGCAAGCGUUAAUCGGAAUUACUGGGCGUAAAGCGUGCGCAGGCGGUUUGGUAAGACAGAUGUGAAAUCCCCGGGCUUAACCUGGGCAUUGCAUUUGUGACUGCCCGGCUAGAGUGUGUCAGAGGGGGGUAGAAUUCCACGUGUAGCAGUGAAAUGCGUAGAUAUGUGGAGGAAUACCCGAUGGCGAAGGCAGCCCCCUGGGAUAACACUGA